CUCCCUCGGUCUCAGUGAUCGAGGCAAUUCAGCUGGAGCUCCCGUCUUGGCGAAGUCGACUGCCAUCGAAUGCAGAGCAGCGAGCCGGAGGCACUCGGGGCUCCGAGCUUUCAUCGGGUCACGGUCCGCAUGUAUCAGUUGAUCAGAUGCCUUUCUAAGAUUCCAGGUACAACUAUCAUAGAGGAAAAUGCAGUUACUAGUCCAAGACACAACUUUGGACGGUUGAUUGGUCAUAGUAAAGAAUUGUGAACCUAGCAAGGUUAGGGAUUAACAUUCCAUGAAGACCAAAGCCAAGAUUUGGCCAAAGGCCCAAAACACAAUCAGGCACAACUUUUUUGUUGGGAGGCAGCAAAAUUUGUCCUUUUUCUGAAAGGAGUACUCAUAUUUCUGAAGAACAUUUAGUUGGUUCAGAGCAUUGAAAAUUUCUCGUUGGUUGCCAUGCCAUCCUGGCUCAGUCAGAAGUUAGCAACCAGUUCUGUUUGGUGUCACCCUAUUAGGACCACAUGUUUCGUGAAGUGUGUGCACUUGUCGCCCUA